ACCCGCUGAACUUAAGCAUAUCAAUUAGCGG
rnacentral:rRNA from 1 species